UUAUUUAUAGGGGAUAUUAGUAUUUAUAUAAAUAAUAUUAAUAAUUAAGUUUUUAAAGAAAUUUAUAUAAAAUAAGUAAAUAUUUAUACUAAUAAUUAUUUAUAUGGAGGUUAAUAAAUUUUAUUUUAAAUAGUAAUUUAAUUUGAUUUAUAUAUUAAAAUUUAAUUCUAAUUUUAGAAUUUAUUAUAAAUUUUAUUUAAUAUAUAAGUAUUUGUUUAUUAAAUUUAAUUAAUAUUUUAUUUAAAUAGUAAUAUUAAUUUUAUUAGGUAGUAUGUGUAUUUAAUUAUAAAUAAAAGUAAUUUUUGUUUUAGAAAUUUUUAUUAAAGAUUGAAAAAAUUUGUGCCAGCAUUCGCGGUUAGACAAAUAUUAAUUUGAGUAAAUUAUUUAAAUUUUAAAGUUAUUAAAAAUAUUUUUUUAAGUUUUUGUUUGUAAAAAAAUUAAAUUAAGGUGAAAUUUUAUUGAUUUGAUUAUUAAAAUUUAAAUUUAGUAUAAUAAUAUAUUUUGAAAAAUUUUUUUUAGACUAGGAUUAGAUACCCUAUUAUUAAAAUUUGUAAAUUUUUUAUUGUUUAAAAUUUUUUUUAUGUGAAAGAUGGAGUAAGAAGAAAAAGGAAGUUUAUUUUAAAUUGGUUUAUUUUUAAUAUAAAUUAUUAAUUUUGAUUAGGUAGUAAUAGGUAUGGUCUCGAAACUUAAAGAAUUUGACGGUAAUUUACUCAUUUUAGAGGAACUUGUUUUUUAAUUGAUAGUCCACGAUAAGAAAAACUUAAAUUUUAUAAUUUAAUAUUUGUAUACCGUCGUUUAAAAAAAAUUUUAUUAGAAUUUAAUUAAUUUUUUUAAAAUUAUUUUAAUUUUUUUUAUAUUUUAAAAUGAUAAUAAUUCAGAUCAAGGUGCAGUUUAUGUUUAAGUUAAAAUGAGUUACAAUAAAUUUAAUUUAUUUUUAUGAAAUUAAAAUUUUAAUAUUUUAAGGAAAUAGAAUUUAAAAGUAAAUUUAAAUAAUUAUUUAUUUUGAAAUUGUUUUAAAUUAUGUACAUAUCGCCCGUCACUCUCGUUAUAAAAUGAGAUAAGUCGUAACAAAGUAAAGGUACUGGAAAGUGUUUUUAGAAUUAUUUUUUUUUAAUU
rnacentral:rRNA from 1 species